AUGUUUUUAAAUUUUAUUCUGCUUUUCUUUUUUCUCUUAAUGUGAAACCCAGGAACAUCCUUUCAUGAGCAUGUAUGAUGACUUGAAUGUAGAUCUGUCCGCUUACUUCACCAAUGCAGGAUCUCCACUUGCAACCCUUUGAAACUUGAGUGGAUUUAAUUGUUGAAGGAGUUCACAUUUCGCAAACUAGCUUGAGACCCAAACGUGUGGGGAAUUUAGUAACAGAGAUUUUAGAAACCUGGUGAAAGAAUCCUAGAUGUCUUUGCGGUUGAAUUCUAAUAAUAGUCUGUACCUCAGAGAACCUUAGUACCAGAAGCCUUGAAGCAAAGUUUCAGCUAACCAGGAUAACCAGGUUUUAUGAUUGCAUUGUUUGCCAUGAUGUCAACUACUAUAAUUAAUUGUAUGAACUCAGAUAGAGAUGUACCGUUUUAUAAAAUGAACUAAAUUUUAUUUGUUUA